rnacentral:rRNA from 1 species
GUGCCAGCCGCCGCGGUAAUACGUAGGGGGCAAGCGUUGUUCGGAAUUACUGGGCGUAAAGGGCGCGUAGGCGGCAUGGCAAGUCGGGAGUGAAAGCCCGGGGCUCAACCCCGGAACUGCUUUCGAAACUGCCAAGCUAGAGUACGGAAGGGGCAACUGGAAUUCCCAGUGUAGCGGUGAAAUGCGUAGAUAUUGGGAAGAACACCGGAGGCGAAGGCGGGUUGCUGGGCCGAUACUGACGCUGAGGCGCGAAAGCCAGGGGAGCAAACGGGAUUAGAUACCCCUGUAGUCC